rnacentral:rRNA from 1 species
UACGGGGGGUGCGAGCGUUGUCCGGAAUCACUGGGCGUAAAGGGCGCGUAGGUGGCUUGGCAAGCGCGUGGUGAAAGCCCGGGGCUCAACCCCGGGUCUGCCAUGCGAACUGCUAUGGCUUGAGCACUGUAGAGGCAGGUAGAAUUCCGGGUGUAGCGGUGGAACGCGUAGAGAUCCGGAAGAAUACCGGUGGCGAAGGCGGCCUGCUGGGCAGUGGCUGACACUGAGGCGCGACAGCGUGGGGAGCAAACAGG